GGAUGAACGCUAGCUACAGGCUUAACACAUGCAAGUCGAGGGGCAGCAUUGGAGUAGCAAUACUCAGAUGGCGACCGGCGCACGGGUGAGUAACACGUAUCCAACCUGCCGCUUACUCGGGGAUAGCCUUUCGAAAGAAAGAUUAAUACCCGAUGGUAUAAAGAGUUCGCAUGUUCUCUUUAUUAAAGAAUUUCGGUAAGCGAUGGGGAUGCGUUCCAUUAGAUAGUUGGCGGGGUAACGGCCCACCAAGUCUACGAUGGAUAGGGGUUCUGAGAGGAAGGUCCCCCACAUUGGAACUGAGACACGGUCCAAACUCCUACGGGAGGCAGCAGUGAGGAAUAUUGGUCAAUGGACGAGAGUCUGAACCAGCCAAAAGUAGCGUGAAGGAUGACUGCCCUAUGGGUUGUAAACUUCUUUUAUAAGGGAAUAAAGUGAGGGACGUGUCCCUUUUUGUAUGUACCUUAUGAAUAAGGAUCGGCUAACUCCGUGCCAGCCGCCGC
rnacentral:rRNA from 1 species